UACACUGCUGCUGGUCUGUUAGGGAAAUUUCUUGGUAUAUUUGGUGGAGCAUUUUAAAAGAGAAUAUUGCACAUUGGGUUUUGGUUUAUGGAGGGAGAAGACAGUUUUAUUUUUCUCUUGCUGCAGAAAGGCAGCACUGCCAGGAAGCUCUUGCUUUCCUGGUUAAAGGAUAUAAGUGUAGAAACACUGUCAGUAAGAAGGAAUCAAUCCACUUACACUACUAUAAUUGAAGAAUUACUAAUAACUAUUAGUUUGGAAGACUGAAAAAGAUAAAAAUCUAUCUAUGAUAAAUAUUAGCUGAAUGAGAAGGGGAUGCUGGAUGUGGAUAUAAUGCUCUGUGUGCCUUUUCUAUGCCAAAAGACAUUUCUUAAGAGUCUGAGGUGUGAAAGAGAAGAAUGCAUCAUCAGCUACCUUUGAACAAUGCCAGCUAUAUAUGAGGAGACGACAGUCUCUAACAGUUUUAGCUGUUCAGGGUGA